UCCGUAGGGGGAACCUGCGGAAGGAUCA
rnacentral:rRNA from 1 species